CCUACUGUGGGCAGCCGUCAGGAAUAUUGGUCAAUGGACGCGAUCCUGAACCAGCCAAGUAGCGUGCAGGAUGACUGCCCUACGGUUUUUAAACUUCUUUUUUAAAGGAAUAACGUUAGGCACGUUUGCCUUUUUCUCUUUACUUUAUCAAUAAGGAUCGUCUCACUCCGUGCCAUCAUCCGCGGUAAAACGUAGGAUCCGAUCGUUAUCCGGAUUUAUUGGGUUUAAAGUGAGCGUAUAUGGGUUUUUAAGUAAGGUGGGAAAGUUUGCGGCUCAACCGUAAAAGUGCAAUUGAUACGGGCAGUCUUGAGUACAGUUGAGGUAUGCGGAAGUCGUGGUGUAGCGGUGAAAUGCUUAGAUAUCACGAAGAACUCCGAUUGCGAAGGCAGCUUACUAGACUGCAACUGACAUUGAUGCUCGAAAGUGUGGGUAUCAAACAGGAUUAGAUACCCCAGUAGUC
rnacentral:rRNA from 1 species